rnacentral:tRNA from 1 species
UGUGGUGUCGCCAAGCGGUAAGGCAGCGGACUUUGACUCCGUUACUUCGUGGGUUCGAUUCCCGCCACCACAGCCA